UGGGGGGUGGUGAGGAAGGGGGAUGGAUAGGCUCUCUCUUAUCAGACAAGCUUGUCCCUAGAGUCCCUGGAAACCCCCAAAGGCCAACCUCUCCCAGGGGCCGACAAACGUAGAGGGCUGGGGGACAUAAGCGGGGAGCUGCGGAGGGCGGGAGUUUGAAAGUCGCUCCACCGCCCCCUAGUCGAUUCUUUUGCCCCGCCCCCCGCAGGGAUGCCCCCGGCAACCGCCCAGCUGCCUCGAACUCUGACUUAAUUCCCUCCGCGUGCUCUGAAUCGCAGAGAGGCAAACUCCCAAACAAAGAGCCGGCAGCUAGCGUGCGGGGCUCCUGGGCGCGUCCUGCCGGCUGGGCUGGGAGAGCCGGCGCCGGGGCGUCGCGGCGGAGCGCGGGGCGGGGCGGCGAGGGGGCGACGCUAAAGCCUGCAGGAAGCCUCCGUGGGCGCGGGGGCGCGGGCCGUGCUGCCCGCAAGCUGACCUUCCCGGGCUGGGAGGGAAGAGCGUUGGCUGCGGGUGGUGGGCGGCUGGGCGGCUGGGCGGCCCCGGGAGCCACCGCUCUCCGCCUCUCUAGGCGCAGCUCCCGUCGCCGCGUCCGGAGCCCCUGACCUGGCCCAGCAGCCAUGGCCCACUAUAAGACUGAGCAGGACGACUGGCUGAUCGUCUACUUGAAGUACUUACUCUUUGUCUUCAACUUCUUCUUCUGGGUCGGGGGAGCAGCCGUCCUGGCUGUGGGCAUCUGGACCCUGGUGGAGAAGAGUGGCUACCUCAGCGUCCUGGCCUCCAGCACCUUUGCCGCCUCCGCCUACAUCCUUAUCUUUGCGGGCGCACUUGUCAUGGUGACCGGCUUCCUGGGCUUCGGUGCCAUCCUCCGGGAGCAGAAGGGCUGCCUCUCCACGUAUUUCUGCCUGUUGCUCAUCAUCUUCCUGGUUGAGCUGGUGGCGGGAGUCCUGGCCCAUGUGUAUUACCAGAGGCUGAGUGAUGAACUGAAGCAGCACUUAAACCAGACUCUGGCUGAGAACUACGGGCAGCCUGGAGCCACGCAGAUCACCGCCUCAGUAGACCGGCUCCAGCAGGAUUUCAAGUGCUGUGGAAGCAACAGCUCAGCUGACUGGCAGCACAGCACGUACAUCCUGUCGCGGGAGGCCGAGGGCCGCCGGGUGCCCGACAGCUGCUGCAAGACAGUGGUGACGCGCUGCGGCCAGCGGGCCCACCCCUCCAACAUCUACAAGGUGGAGGGAGGCUGCCUCACCAAGCUGGAGCAGUUCCUGGCCGACCACCUGCUGCUCAUGGGGGCUGUGGGCAUCGGGGUGGCCUGCCUGCAGGCUGAAUCCCACGGUCAGUAUCUCCCCCAGAGAACAUGAAGGAAAAUAGCUGGGGGACAACAUGAACUUGUCGGGAACAGGGACCUGGGAGGAGUGUGAGUGUGGGCUCAGAUCUGCGGGAUGGUUCUCACCUGCUGCUUGCACCGGAGGCUCCAGCGGCAUUUUUACUAAUGGCCAACCACCUCCUCUUCCAACUGCCCCUCAGGACGACAGGUGGCCACAUGCCAUCUGCAAGGCCUGCAGAGUUAGCACCAGCUCCACUAGGGCCAUAGAUACCCCCUCUUUUGUGCCCAGCUCCUGCAAAUCCACCAAGUGCCUGAGACCAUAGCUUCUAUUGUGCCCACCCAGGCAGGGACCCUCGGCCCCCUCUCCUCCAUUUUCAGCCCCCAUGGCCAGAUCCUGGGCAGGGAAAUGAUCCUUUCAGGAGACAACCAGAGCCCCUCACCAGGCACAGGGGCACCCGUGGACUACGAGAUGGUGGCAGUUGAGUUCUCUGCUCCCUCCCAACCCCUGAACCUGGAACAAUGGGCAGAAAACCCAGGAACCCCGGCACUCCUGCAUUCAGCAGGGGCUUCCCCCACCCAUGCUCAGAAGCCCUGACCUUGUUGUUUCUGAAAAAUGCAUGGGUGGGGCAGGGAGGGCUGACUACCCCCCCCCACACCCCCUUCCGGAAGACCUUGCCCUUUGACCUGCCCGCUCUCCACACUGCCUCACCUGGAAAGCCAUGUCCUGCUGGCCUCCUUCCUGCAGGGCCUGGGAGUGGGGAGGCCUGGGUAGGGCAGCCACAGGCUGGGUAGAGCCGCCCUGGCAGGAAGCAGGGGGUAAGGUGGCCACACCAGCACAUGCUGCACUAGGAGCAGAGCCCUGCACCUGCCUAGCAGCCUUCCCGGGAGAAACCCCCUGGGAGACCAUGGCCCCAAGCCCUGGCCUCUAGUGAUAUGCCCCCCAGGGAUCUCCUGUUCCGGGGCCUGAUUCUCAGGAACACCAGGUUUGCAGACCAUCUUCAGUUCCUAAUGUUGGUGGGUGUCAAACAUCUGGAGUGGACCAACUCGCAGCCCUGCAAAGUUGGAGCCGCUGAGAAGCAGCAGCUCUGAAUAGAGGGGCAUCUGCCUGAACCUCACUUUUCCUGGGGCCCUCUCCUUGACCCCGUGGCCACCGCACUGCUUCCAGGGGGUCCCGCUCUGCUUCCCUUCCCACCCAUCCUAGAGUGGACAGAGUUUUUCCCCCAGGUUCUCUCUUGCAUCACUAAAUUCAGCAGGGAAUUUUCAGGAAGAACUUUCCCCAGUAAUAAGGGAGAACGGAAAGAAAAUCCUAGAAAAUACAGAGUAUCCAUGCUGGCAGCUUUUUGUACAACACCCAUAGGGACCCCCCAAAUGGCUAUUACAAGGGGGCAGCCCAUUCACUACACAAGAACACCAUACCUGGCUUCCACCCUCCCCAGGUCCUACAUUUCUCCCCAGAGCGGGACCCUCUUCCCCUCUACGAAGGGGGGUACCUUGUGCUAAGGCCAAGACAGAGAGAGGUCCCAGCUCGCCUCCCUGCUUGAUCCAAAUUGCACUGUGGUGAGCACAUUGCUGACCUAGGCCAGUCCUGGGGCAGGGGUGCUCUCUCUCCCAUACAUAGGAGUGGCCUCAAGGCCACGCAGUGCUGACCCCAACAGAGCCCUGAACUGUCCAGAAGCUGCAUCCUCAGCACAGGAAGUACCCACAUGGACAGAGGGAAACCCAGCCUCGGGGCCGGUUGCCUCCUCUUCUCUGGGUGUUGUCCAGUGGCUUCUUGGAGCCUAGGCUGGUUUAUCUCCCCUGCCUAAAAGGCCCUGGAGUUACCAAUGCAAAUUCAUUAAAAGGAAGACCAGAUAUCCCAGACUGCACAGGGCAGAGAGAAAUGGUGUAGUGCAUGAUUCGCGCUGCUCUCCAACCUCCUGGAAUUCGUGCAGAUAAUCGAAAACUGGCUGUGACUCCCAGGCUCCCUGAAGGAUGAGAUCACAACUGACAAAUCUUACUACAGAGGGAGAGUGGAGAGAGAGGGGGGGUACUGGGCUAGAGCCAUGUUCUUCCUGCCGGGGUGCCAAGGGGAGGCGGCAGUGGGCACGGGGUGCUGGGGCCUUACCUGUCUGCCCUAGUGGGGAUGAAAGACAGGUGGCAGGCAGGUGCCCUGUGCGCAGCCUUGUCACUGAAGGCAGGCCCAGGAGAGUGUGCCCCAUCUGCCCCAGCCCCAUGGGAUAGUUGGUCCAGCCUUACUGGGGCAGGAUUAGCUGUGAUUCCUGCCCUGUGUGUCGUCCAGCCAGACUGCCUCUUAGAGAAUGGCUUGUCCAAGCUGCAGACAGUGGUAGAACAACCCAGGGCCUGGAAAUCUGACCUCCUUGGCCAUGCCAACAGCCUGGGAGAUCAGACAGGGUUAGAGGAAAUGGAGGCCCAGGAUAGGGCAGGUUCUGCCUGGGAGUGUACAGUGGCUGGAGUCCAGAGCCAACCAUGUGGUCCCCAGUGGGGUGUGCCCUUCCUGCUGACCAGGGUACAGCUCCAUGUCCAGUUCAGUUCCUCCCGGGCCCGUGUUUGGAAGCUGGUACAGCCUUGAGUUCCUUGGAGAGAGAGGACGUGCCUGUGGAAUGUCACCAUCAGUCCUGUGUGGGCAAAAGGCCUCUGUACGCCAGGGCACCAGGAAAGCAGCAUCAGGAGCUGGGAUCCCACCCAGCUGGCCUGGGCACAUCCUUGCCCUGCACACACCAUGCUGCCCUUCCCUAAGCUUGCAGGGGCAGACACUAAGGGAGAAGGGCGCGUCCCCGAGUCCCCCGGGUGACCUGUGUCAGGACAGCCAGCAAAAAUGAAACAUGGCCUUGGCUGAGGGGGUGGAAUGUUUGUGUCCAUUCUCUUUCUCCCUCCUGCUUCCCUAACCCUAGCCCCAUGUCCAGGGCCCCUCAGGCAGAGUAAGUGAGGAGUGUGUCCAGGCAUGUUUUUGUGUUUACCAAGGUCCUGCCGUGCACUUAGAAUCUGUCACCAUAAAUACUUAUCUUGCAGUUACCCCAGUAAGAGGGCGUUACUUCCCCCAUUUUAUAAAUGAGGAAGUUAAGGCUGGGCAAAGUUAAGACUUGUCUGUCAGUGGUCAUGGCAGUUGUCUUGCCACCCCCAGCCAGGGAAAAGGAAGGAAAGCUGGGCCGGGAACCCCUCUCCUCAGUGUCCCCCAGUUCUCCAUCUCCAUAAUGAGCCAUCGGGCUGUCAGUAAGGAACAGAGUGUCACUCGGGGGGCACUGUCACAAAGCAGCACCCGUGGCACAUGUGCCGGAGAUGCGGAAGCCUGGCUCGUUUCAGGCUGACAGCUGGGCCCUCCGGGUACAGGGGCUCAGGCAGCAGCCAGGAGCCCAAAGCGCCAAGGCUCAUGACGACCACCCAGCCCAUCACCCCAAGUAGCAACACUAACCCCAAAGCAAUAGCAGGGACUGUCCCUCAGCCCUCAGGGCCUUCAUGCAGAGUGCGGAAUCUCAUGUCCACAUGGAGGUCACACCCACUUCCGGAGCCACCCUGGGCAGGCAGGGAGGGGCACUCUGGGGAUGCGUUGACCACCUCCCCUUCAGGUGAGGCCCUUUUCUGCCUUCUUUCUAGCCCCCGCGUGGAGUACCUGCUGUUGCUGGGGCUCUGGGGUGGACCCUGUGUGAUUUCUCUCAGCGAGCCUGUGCAGUGCACGGCCAGAGGUGUUUACAUCCAGAAGGGCCCAGCACGGCCCUGUGGGGUAUGGGGGGAACAUGGUAGAUCACUGUGAUGUGCCUCGGGGCCCUCCUGCCCUGGAGCCAGCUGUGGUUUCAGAAUCUGCUACUUGGGCCCUCUUCAGGGUUUUGAGGCUGGAGAAGUGAGUUGGAACAGUCGCUGUCAUCACCGCCCACCCUGUCACCCACCUGGAAAACAUGCUGAGGUACUGGCCACUCUGGGGCUGAGGAGGGAAUGCCAGUCUUUUGCAUGGCUGCUGGGCCAGGCUCACAUCCACUGAGGGUAUGGUGACCAAGCGUCUAAACCAGUCGUUCUCAAACUUCAGUGAGUAUCAGAAUCACCUGGAAGGGCUUUUCCAAACAGAUUGCUGGCCCCACCCCGAGAAUUUCUCAUCAGGAGGGGGCAAGACCAAUCCUUUGCAUUUCUGACAAGUUCCCAGGAGCUGCAGCUGCUGGCCCUGGAACCACACUUUGAGAACGACUGCUUUAGACCAAACCCUAAAGGAAGAUGCAGCCACCCUCCUUUAUAUGUCACAACGCUCAGGGUUCACGAGUACCUCAGGCUGUCCAGCUGAGCGCCACCUGCAGCAGCCGAGAUUCCCGACUCGCUCCACCACUGGGGGCUGGGAGUGAAGCAUGUCACCAUGGUCAGCUCAUGGCCAGCCAGGAAAGCGUUUCUGCUGUGCGUCUGUGCAGUGCUUGCUCUUCCCUGGAGGACUCUUGGAUGGCCUGUAAUCUUGGCCAGGAUACCAGGUGCCUGGGUCCCUUCCUGGAAGGGGACAAGUUACACACCCCAGCCCCAUUUUCCCACCAACUUCUACAUGCCUUGGGAGAACCUGCUACAUUCUGGCUGCUCCCUUCCCCUAUUUCAACAGUGCCCAGCCCUGCUUAUAAACCUGAGGCUUGCUCCCCAUGCCCUGCCCUGUGCAAGUGCCAGCCAUUAUUCCAGACAGCCCAAUGUUGGUGAAGCCGGAUGGACUCCUGGAACCAGCUGGCUCAUGGAUGUGGGUCAUCGCAGUAUUCUAGAAACGGAUGUCUUAACCUAGUGUGUAUAGAGAAAUUGUUCUCGUUGUAAACAUACCCCUGUUCUUACCUGAACUCGGUGGAAGCCCAGCUUCGUGUGCUACGGGGCAUGAUAAUGAUAAUAAAGGAAUUGUAUCUAGGACUA